rnacentral:lncRNA from 1 species
GACAUUCUGGUCUUCUGAGCUAUGACAAGCAUUGCACAUCAAGGUUCACUUACAGUUUUCUGGAGCUUCUCUACCCUCCAUCAUCAAAUCUUUCCUGACUCCUCCAAAGAACCAGUUCCAAAGGUUUUGAAAACACAUCAUCAGGUAGAAAGAAGAAAAGAAAGCAGGAAAGAUUGGAAAGAUAAAGGAAGUCUUUCAGGUGAAGAUUAAAACAGAUGGAGUUUGACAAUCUUUAAUCAACAUUAAGAAAAGCCUGCUGAUUUAUCAAUGAAUUUAGGACUGGACUCAGAUGACCUUCCCUCCAUCAAGAAUGGAUUGAACUUGGGUCCUUGAGCUUGCGCAGCAGGCGGCGAAACCACUGAGCUAAAUCCCCGGCCCCUAAUUGGAUUCUUUUCUAAGAAAAUCAACAUAAAGUGGUUUAUAAAUUUCAACACAAGAAUUUUAAAAGAAAAAAUAAGAAAAAGGUUUGUGACAUUGAUCUGAGAUUAAUUUCAUAGAGAUGACAUUUAAAGCAUGGGA